rnacentral:rRNA from 1 species
AGGGUUUGAUCCUGGCUCAGAACGAACGUUGGCGGCGUGGAUUAGGCAUGCAAGUCGAGCGAGAAGCCUGGCUUCGGCUGGGUGGACAGCAGCAAACGGGUGAGUAAUGCGUAGAUAACCUGCCCUUGGAUCUGGGAUAGCCGCGGGAAACUGCGGGUAAUACCGGAUAACGUCCUGAAAUCGCAUGGUUUUGGGACCAAAGGUGCCUCCGUCCAAGGAGGGGUUUACGUCCUAUUAGCUUGUUGGUGGGGUAACGGCCUACCAAGGCUUUUAUGGGUAGCGGGCGUGAGAGCGUGGCCCGUCACACUGGGACUGAGACACUGCCCAGACUCCUACGGGAGGCUGCAGUCGAGAAUCUUCGGCAAUGGGCGAAAGCCUGACCGAGCGACGCCGCGUGGACGAUGAAGGCCUUCGGGUUGUAAAGUCCUGUCAGGAACUAUGAAGGCCCGUGGACUCGAUCCGCGGUUUUGACAAGUUCCAAAGGAAGCUCCGGCUAAAUUCGUGCCAGCAGCCGCGGUAACUCGAAUGGAGCAAACGUUGUUCGGAAUUACUGGGCUUAAAGCGCACGUAGGCGGUCUGGUCAGUCGGGUGUGAAAUCCCUCGGCUCAACCGAGGAAUGGCAUUCGAAACUUCCAGACUUGAGUGAAGCAGGGGGGUGUGGAACUCCGGGUGGAGCGGUGAAAUGCGUAGAUAUCCGGAGGAACGCCAGUGGUGAAAACGAUGCCCUGGGCUUCUACUGACGCUGAGGUGCGAAAGCUAGGGGAGCGAACGGGAUUAGAUACCCCGGUAGUCCUAGCCGUAAACGAUGGGCACUAGGUAGAGGAGGUUCCGAUGCCGUCCCUGCCGAAGCAAAAGUGUUAAGUGCCCCGCCUGGGGAGUAUGGUCGCAAGGCUAAAACUCAAAGGAAUUGACGGGGGCUCACACAAGCGGUGGAGCAUGUGGCUUAAUUCGAGCAACGCGAAGAACCUUAUCCUGGGCUUGACAUGCACGGAUUAGCCGGCUGAAAGGUCGGUGACGCCCUUGGGUGGAACGUGCACAGGUGCUGCAUGGCUGUCGUCAGUUCGUGUCGUGAGAUGUUGGGUUAAGUCCCGUAACGAACGAAACCCUUGCCCUUAGUUGCCAGCGCGUCAUGGCGGGGACUCUAAGGGGACUGCCGGUGUGAAACCGGAGGAAGGUGGGGAUGACGUCAAGUCCUCAUGGCCUUUAUGUCCAGGGCUGCACACGUGCUACAAUGGCGAGUACAAAGGGCCGCGAAACCGCGAGGUUAAGCUAAUCCCAAAAAACUCGCCUCAGUUCGGAUUGCAGUCUGCAACUCGACUGCAUGAAGUCGGAAUCGCUAGUAAUCGCGGAUCAGCUAUGCCGCGGUGAAUGUGUUCCUGAGCCUUGUACACACCGCCCGUCAAGCCACGAAAGCGGGAGGCGUCCGAAGUCGCCGAGCUAACCCUCCGGGGAGGCAAGCGCCGAAGACGAAGCCCGUGAUUGGGACUAAGUCGUAACAAGGUA